rnacentral:rRNA from 1 species
GACGAACGCUGGCGGCGUGCUUAACACAUGCAAGUCGAACGGUAAGGCCCUUCGGGGUACACGAGUGGCGAACGGGUGAGUAACACGUGGGUGAUCUGCCCUGCACUUCGGGAUAAGCCUGGGAAACUGGGUCUAAUACCGGAUAGGACCACUGCCUGCAUGGGUGGUGGUGGAAACCUUUUGCGGUGGGGGAUGGGCCCGCGGCCUAUUAGCUUGUUGGUGGGGUGAUGGCCUACCAAGGCGACGACGGGUAGCCGGCCGGGGAGGGUGACCGGCCACACUGGGACUGAGAUACGGCCCAGACUCCUACGGGAGGCAGCAGUGGGGAAUAUUGCACAAUGGGCGCAAGCCUGAUGCAGCGACGCCGCGUGAGGGAUGACGGCCUUCGGGUUGUAAACCUCUUUCAGCACCGACGAAGCGCAAGUGACGGUAGGUGCAGAAGAAGGACCGGCCAACUACGUGCCAGCCGCCGCGGUAACAC